UACGGGGGGAGCAAGCGUUGUUCGGAUUUACUGGGCGUAACGGGCGCGUAGGCGGUCAGCGCAAGUCAGUUGUGAAAUCUCCGGGCUUAACUCGGAAAGGUCAACUGAUACUGUGCGACUAGAGUGCGGAAGGGGCAACUGGAAUUCUCGGUGUAGCGGUGAAAUGCGUAGAUAUCGAGAGGAACACCUGCGGCGAAGGCGGGUUGCUGGGCCGACACUGACGCUGAUGCGCGAAAGCCAGGGGAGCGAACGGG
rnacentral:rRNA from 1 species